AGAGUUUGAUCCUGGCUCAGAAUGAACGUUGGCGGCGUGGAUUAGGCAUGCAAGUCGAACGGGUCCGCCGCAAGGUGGAUCAGUGGCGUAAGGGUGAGUAAUGCGACGGCAACCAACCCCAUGGUUGGGCAUAGCCGCGGGAAACUGCGGGUAAUUCCCAGCGAUGUUUAGGCCGGGCAUCCGGCUAAAACCAAAGUUCU
rnacentral:rRNA from 1 species